rnacentral:rRNA from 1 species
AUUGAACGCUGGCGACGUGCUUAACACAUGCAAGUCGAACGGUGAACGAGGGAGCUUGCUCCCUCCGGAUCAGUGACGAACGGGUGAGUAACACGUGAGCAAUCUGCCCCGAACUCUGGGAUAAGCGCUGGAAACGGCGUCUAAUACCGGAUACGACGCGCGAAGGCAUCUUCUGCGCGUGGAAAGAAUUUCGGUUCGGGAUGAACUCGCGGCCUAUCAGCUAGUUGGUGAGGUAACGGCUCACCAAGGCGACGACGGGUAGCCGGCCUGAGAGGGUGACCGGCCACACUGGGACUGAGACACGGCCCAGACUCCUACGGGAGGCAGCAGUGGGGAAUAUUGCACAAUGGGCGCAAGCCUGAUGCAGCAACGCCGCGUGAGGGACGACGGCCUUCGGGUUGUAAACCUCUUUUAGUAGGGAAGAAGCGAAAGUGACGGUACCUGCAGAAAAAGCACCGGCUAACUACGUGCCAGCAGCCGCGGUAAAAC